UGGGGAAUAUUGGACAAUGGGCGAAAGCCUGAUCCAGCCAUGCCGCGUGUGUGAAGAAGGUCUUCGGAUUGUAAAGCACUUUAAGUUGGGAGGAAGGGCAGUAAGCGAAUACCUUGCUGUUUUGACGUUACCGACAGAAUAAGCACCGGCUAACUCUGUGCCAGCAGCCGCGGUAAUACAGAGGGUGCAAGCGUUAAUCGGAAUUACUGGGCGUAAAGCGCGCGUAGGUGGUUCGUUAAGUUGAAUGUGAAAGCCCCGGGCUCAACCUGGGAACUGCAUCCAAAACUGGCGAGCUAGAGUAGGGCAGAGGGUGGUGGAAUUUCCUGUGUAGCGGUGAAAGGCGUAGAUAUAGGAAGGAACACCAGUGGCGAAGGCGACCACCUGGGCUCAUACUGACACUGAGGUGCGAAAGCGUGGGGAGCAAACAGG
rnacentral:rRNA from 1 species